GACGAACGCUGGCGGCGUGCUUAACACAUGCAAGUCGAACGAGAGGAGAAGGAAGCUUGCUUCUUUCAAAUCUAGUGGCAAACGGGUGAGUAACACGUAAACAACCUGCCUUCAGGAUGGGGACAACAGACGGAAACGACUGCUAAUACCGAAUACGUUCCUUAGGUCGCAUGACUUUAGGAAGAAAGGGUGGCCUCUACUUGUAAGCUAUCGCCUGAAGAGGGGUUUGCGUCUGAUUAGGUAGUUGGUGAGGUAACGGCCCACCAAGCCGACGAUCAGUAGCCGGUCUGAGAGGAUGAACGGCCACACUGGAACUGAGACACGGUCCAGACUCCUACGGGAGGCAGCAGUGGGGAAUAUUGGGCAAUGGGCGAAAGCCUGACCCAGCGACGCCGCGUGAGGGAAGACGGUCUUCGGAUUGUAAACCUCUUUCAGCAGGGAAGAAGCAAGUGACGGUACCUGCAGAAGAAGUCACGGCUAACUACGUG
rnacentral:rRNA from 1 species